GGAUGCUAUCAUACCAGCACUAAAGCACCGGAUCCCAUUAGAACUCCGAAGUUAAGCGUGCUUGGGCGAGAGUAGUACUAGGAUGGGUGACCUCCUGGGAAGUCCUCGUGUUGCAUUCC
rnacentral:rRNA from 1 species